rnacentral:tRNA from 1 species
GUGAAUAUAGUUUAAAAAAACACUAGAUUGUGAUUCUAAAAAUAGAAGUUAAAGUCUUCUUAUUCACC